UACGUAGGGUGCAAGCGUUGUCCGGAAUUAUUGGGCGUAAAGAGCUCGUAGGCGGUUUGUCGCGUCUGCUGUGAAAAUCCAGGGCUUAACCCUGGACCUGCAGUGGGUACGGGCAGACUAGAGUGCGGUAGGGGAGAUCGGAAUUCCUGGUGUAGCGGUGAAAUGCGCAGAUAUCAGGAGGAACACCGGUGGCGAAGGCGGGUCUCUGGGCCGAUACUGACGCUGAGACGCGAAAGCGUGGGGAGCAAACAGG
rnacentral:rRNA from 1 species